GGGAGAGAGAGGAAAGAGGCGUCAAGGGUGCUGUGUCAAAGGAGGCUCAGUCGUGUAACACAAAGGCUUUUGCUAGGAAUCUCUAUCCUGGAACUGUUGUGACAUAUCUGUCUACUAAGCUAAGUGGCUUCAUGACUCAUAGCUCUGCUUCAUGGAGAGACUGGAAGGCUACCCAGCUUGAGACACCAUCUUCCGCUUUCUCCCAGGAAAGUUAAGUGUGAGCGUCCCACCUUCCCACUACAAGCCUAACACUCUGUUACAAAGGUAAGCUUUCUCUCCUUCAUGAUUGACAAGUUUUCCUAGAGUGAUAACAGCCUGCUUGCUUGUCUGGAGUCAUCUGGAAUUUAUCCCACUAUCACUAAGCCCCAGCGACGACUUCUUAGUGCGCACAGCAACUAUUUCUCAAAGUUGCCCCUGACAUUUACUUUUCCCUGGAACACCACAGCUUCAUAUCACAAUUUAUUUACAUGCCAGGUGCAUUUGGAUAAACAGAUAUGAAAUCUGAGCAACUAGAGAUUAUCAGAGAGUAGAUUUUAAUCUU
rnacentral:lncRNA from 1 species